AGUCGAACGAAGUAGCAAUACUUAGUGGCAGACGGGUGAGUAACAUGUGGGUAUCUGCCCUUUGGCCUGGAAUAACACGAGGAAACUUGUGCUAAUACCGGAUAAGUCUUUACAGAGAAAGCUUUAUGCACCAUUGGAUGAGCCCGCACUUGAUUAGUUUGUUGGUAGGGUAAUGGCCUACCAAGACUGUGAUCAAUAGCUGAUUUGAGAGGAUGAUCAGCCACAUUGGGACUGAGACACGGCCCAAACUCCUACGGGAGGCAGCAGUGGGGAAUCUUGCACAAUGGAGGAAACUCUGAUGCAGCGAUGCCGCGUGAGUGAAGAAGGCCCUUGGGUUGUAAAGCUCUUUCGUCGGGGAAGAAAAUGACUGUACCCGAAUAAGAAGGUCCAGCUAACUUCGUGCCAGCAGCCGCGGUAAUACGAAGGGACCUAGCGUAGUUCGGAAUUACUGGGCUUAAAGAGUUCGUAGGUGGUUGAAAAAGUUGGUGGUGAAAUCCCAGAGCUUAACUCUGGAACUGCCAUCAAAACUUUUCAGCUAGAGUUUGAUAGAGGAAAGCAGAAUUUCUAGUGUAGAGGUGAAAUUUGCAGAUAUUAGAAAGAAUACCAAUUGCGAAGGCAGCUUUCUGGAUCAUUACUGACACUGAGGAACGAAAGCAUGGGUAGCGAAGAGGAUUAGAUACCCUCGUAGUCCAUGCCGUAAACGAUGUGUGUUAGACGUUGGAUAUUUAUUUUCAGUGUCGCAGCGAAAGCGAUAAACACACCGCCUGGGGAGUACG
rnacentral:rRNA from 1 species